CUAUAUUCUAGUCUAUAGUCUAGUCUGUAGUCUAGUUUAUAGUCUAGUUUAUAUACUGGACUAUAGACUAGACUAUAGACUAGAUUAUA
rnacentral:pre_miRNA from 1 species